rnacentral:rRNA from 1 species
CAGUCGCCGCGGGAAUACGUAGGGUGCAAGCGUUAAUCGGAAUUACUGGGCGUAAAGCGUGCGCAGGCGGUUAUAUAAGACAGAUGUGAAAUCCCCGGGCUCAACCUGGGAACUGCAUUUGUGACUGUAUAGCUAGAGUACGGCAGAGGGGGAUGGAAUUCCGCGUGUAGCAGUGAAAUGCGUAGAUAUGCGGAGGAACACCGAUGGCGAAGGCAAUCCCCUGGGCCUGUACUGACGCUCAUGCACGAAAGCGUGGGGAGCAAACAGGAUUAGAGACCCCCGUAGUCCCUGUCUCUUAUAA